ACAUGAUAGGGGAGCUGGAGGAACCUGCCGUCUCCGCCAUCGAGCGCCCCUCCGAGCUGGGGUUGGACGCUGCCAGUUUGCACAGCAGCAGGUUGGAUCUAUGAACACGAGACACAGAAACACCAGCUGGAGGAGCCCAGGAGGCCCAGCAGGUGAGGUUAUCCACAGAAUAGGCACGCCGCCCUAGUCCAUGGAUCACUGAGUGCCCAGACCAGGGCUUCAGGGGGUUCCAGCCGAGGCUUUGUGAACCGGAUCCUGGGUCACUGAGUAACCAGACUGGUCUCAGGAGGUUCCAGCUGAGGCUUUGUGAACCAGAUCCUGGGUCACUGAGUGCCCGGACCAGGGGUUCAGGAGGUUCCGGCCGAGGCUUUAUGAACCGGAUCCUCCUCUUUGCGUUUCAAACAGCGGGAACCAUCUUAGUCCAUGGGCCACUGAGUGCCUGGACCAGGGGUUCAGGAGGUUCCGGACGAGGCUUUAUGAACCGGAUCCUCCUCUUUGCAUUUCAAACAGUGGGAACCAUCUUAGUCCAUGGGCCACUGAGUGCCCGGACCAGGGCUUCAGGGGGUUCCAGCCGAGGCUUUGUGAACCAGAUCCUGGGUCAUUGAGUGCCCGGACCAGGGGUUCAGGAGGUUCUGGCCGAGGCUUUAUGAACCGGAUCCUCCUCUUUGCGUUUCAAACAGCGGGAACCAUCGUAGUCCAUGGGCCACUGAGUGCCCGGACCAGGGCCCCGGGGCUUCCUGACAGCAGGAACAACAGGAAUCAUUCAAACCCUGGAGCCCAGAGGGCAGGACGGGAGCGGCCUUUUGUCCCCCGCGGGCAGGCCAGGGAGGUGGACAGGCCGGGAGCCUGAAGCCUGAGCAGCUGGAGGCUCGCUCAUUCUCCCGUGGUCACUGUGUUCCCGGAGCCCCAACAGAGGGCCAAUUGUCCCACGGGGCGGUGCCUG
ensembl:lncRNA LINC01749 long intergenic non-protein coding RNA 1749